GGGGUAUUAGCUCAGUCGGUAGAGCGCAACAAUGGCAUUGUUGAGGUCAGCGGUUCGACUCCGCUAUACUCCA
rnacentral:tRNA from 1 species